CUUCUCAGUUGUGCCUGUAGUGCCUCUGGGUUAGAGAAUAAGCUUUUCUUCAAAAGCAUUUUGGCAUUUUUUAAGACACAAAAAUAUGGCCAAUAUGACUAGUGAUGAACUUUUAAAACUUUUUACUCAGUUUGCGAUGAAAGAGGGUGGUAACCAUCUGCUCUCCAUGUCAGGACUUAACAACUUGCUUCAGACUCAUUUCUCAAACCUUUUGGGUUCAUUCUCUCUCGGUGAUGUAGCCAAAUAUGUGGAGGUAAAUAAAGAAGGAAAAAUCACCUUUGAUGUUUUUAAGACACUGAUGAGCAAGAUAAGUGGAUUGUCUUCUUUGAG